GCGCACAGAUGCUGGAGUGGAAGCGACAGGCGCGCUCAUCUCGGUGGCACUGAACGCAUCGAAGACCAGAGACGGGGGAGAAGAUCACCCGGUAAAGCGUCCGUCAGGAGCCUCAGACCGCGGGGAACGAUGCUCAGGACGAGUCUGUCCGCGGGCAGCAGGACUUAAAAAGCUGCGGUCCAUCCAUCAGGACACUUUUUACUCUCGCCCCUUCCCCUCUGAUCAGGAAGAUAAGAAUCCAGGCAGUCAUCCUCCAGCUCACAGUCCUCUUUGGGCACCUAACCCCAGUUUGACAGCCAGUGUAGUUCAAUCCCAGCACGAUGUGGAAGACCGGGAUCCUCCUGCUGAUGUGGGUGUCUCUGGCGUCCGGAGAACUCCAACAAGAGACGGAGCAGCGGAGACUGCCACCCCCGGGAAAGUUGGAUUUCGGUUAUGUGCCUGCGGGAGUUUACGAGACUCUGGCUCACUACGAACCGGGACCGAUAGGGAUCCUGUUCCACAUGGUGCACGCGUUUCUGUAUGUCGUGCAGCCCAACGCUUUCCCGCAAGAACUUAUUGUCAAAUUGGCGAAGGACAAGUUUGGAGCCAUUCAGACGGAAUACCAAAAGGCCAUCUACUACGAGAUAGGCUUCCUGGUUUGUGCAGCAGUCGGCCUGCUCUUCACCAUUCUGGUGCCGAUAGUCGGCCUUUUCUUCUGCAUGUGCCGCUGCUGUGACAACUGCGGUGGCGAGAUGCACCAACGCCAGAGGAAGAACGCGGACUGCCGACGAGGCCUGUUGGGAACGCUGCUCUUCUCCACCUCACUGGUCAUCACGAUCGGAGUGCUGUGUGCAUACGCUGCCAACCAGAACCUGAGCUCACAGGUGAAGAACAUACGGAGACUGGUCAACAGCAACAUGAGGGACCUGCACACCUUCGCUAAUGACACGCCGAUGCAAAUUGAUUACCUAAUAUCCCAAUACGCCACCGCCAAGAACAAAGUCAUCUAUGACCUAGAUAAUAUAGGUCCAUUAUUGGGUGGACGGAUACACGAUCAGUUGGAUAAGGAAGUCCAUCCUGCCUUGGACAGAGCGCUCAAUAUGGCUGGAGCCAUGCGAGAAACCAAAGAGGCCCUGGAGAACGUCAGUGUGGGUUUGGAGGUUCUCCAGGAGGGAACAGGGAAGCUCAACUUCAACCUGAGUCUGGUCCGCACCAGUAUCAACCGCACCCUCAACGACCCGGGCUGUCAUGACGAGGAGUCAGAUGCCACCACUGCACAGCUGUGCCGCAACAUCCGCCAGUCACUGUCCCAGCUGCAGAUCGGAGCCAACUUCACACGGUUACCCAAAGUGAACGCUCAGCUGCAAAAGGUGAACGAUGUACUGAAAACGGACCUCAGUGCCAUCGUCCAGAGGGGCUACGCCUCUUUAAACAACACGCCACAUAUGGUGGUUGAACAGACCAGAAGUGUUGUGGAGAAUGUGCAGAGUUUGGUGGACGGCAUUGGCAACAACAUCAGCAGCUUUUCCAAGGUGUUCCCUGUGCAGAGCUGCCUGGCCAACUUCACCAUCUUCAUCAGCCACGCUCAUGCUAAGAUUGAGGACUACUACCCUGAGAUUGACAAACUGGACUUCUACAGAUGGAUUGGCUGCAUUGCUCUUUGCUGCAUGGUGGUUCUGGUCCUGGCCUUCAACUACCUGGGCCUGCUGUGUGGCACCCUGGGCUACGACAAGCACGCCUCACCUACGACACGAGGCUGCAUCUCCAACACGGGAGGAACGAUGCUCAUGGCUGGCGUCGGAUUUAGCAUCAUCUUCUCCUGGGUGCUGAUGGGAGUGGUAACAAUCAUCUUCUUGGCUGGAGGAAACAUGGAGAAACUUGUUUGUGAACCCUUUCACAGCAAGGAAAUCUUCAAUGUUGUGGACACCCCGUAUUUGGUUAACCCAGAGUGGAAAAACUUCAUCCCUGGCUACAUGUACAACGACUCCGACCUGGAGCUGACAGCAGAGAGCUUGUACAGCACUUGCAAAGAGAACAAAGGCAUCUACUCAGCCAUGCGUUUGGACAAAGUCUUCAACAUCUCCUUGUUCCUGAACACUACAGUGUUUACUAAGGAUGUGGUGAGUCAGCUGGAGAGUGUUAAGAUCGACCUGAGGGGAAUAAUCCUGUUAGAGGCAGAAGGGAAGCAGAACCUCCUGGACUUCUCUGAAGCAGGACUGUCAGAAAUCAACUAUGCAGACUACCUGGAAGAGGUCAACAAAGGAGUCACUUUGGUGGACCUGCUCUCAUAUGCCAGAGAGUUGGAGGCCCAGACAGACCUCAUGCCCAGAGGCGCUCUGCAGACUGCUCUGAAAGGCCACAUCGGCACUCUGCGGCAGAUCCACAGUCAACAGAUUAUCCCCAUGGAGCAGGCCAUGAAAUAUGUUAGAGCGAGGAGCGCAUUGAACCAGAGUAUGAGGUUCCUGGAGAGAACAGCCACAGACCUGCCCAACAAAGUUUUAGCAGUUCUUGAUGCCAUUGAUGCUGCGCAGUACCUCAUCUCCCAGAAUGCUUCACACUUAAUCAAUCGGGAAACAGGGAAAUACACAGCAACUAUUGUCAGCUACUUCCAUCAAUACAUAGAGUGGGUCAAAACAUCCUUGGCUAUGGAGGUUGCACCAUGCAAGCCCUUCAGCAACAUGGUGGACACGGCAGAUAUCAUUGCUUGCAGUUUCUUGGUCGACUCCAUGAACACAUUCUGGAUGGGCCUGGGCUGCAGCACUCUCUUUCUGCUCCCAAGCAUCAUCCUGGCAGUGAAACUAGCCAAGUACUACCGCAGGAUGGACACAGAGGAUGUUUACGAUGAUUCCUCUGUUUCUGGGACUUGGCAUUUUACUUUGUGAUAACCAUUUCUACUAUUUCCAUCUUCCAUAUCUUUUUUGUUGUUUUUUUUCCUUUAAUUCCUCUCUGUCAAGCACUUGGCACUUUACAAAGAAACAUUGACGCUUGUCAAUUUAUAUUUAUUCUCUCAUGGACCUUUUGUUCGCUCAUUUAAUCGCGGCUUUACACAAAUACAACGUAAUGUUUCGAUCAGUGGCGUCUGUCGUCAUGUGAUCUGUGCUGGGUUAAAGGCUUUCUGACUUUCUGGUGCAUUUCUAUCGCUGAGCAUUUCAAUAACAUUUUUAUGUUUUUUUUUUGUGUAUCUUUAUAGCAUUGAGACAAUUCCCAUGAAAACGUAAGACAUUUUACCCACCUCCCUCUCCUUUCAGCUCGUAUCACUCUGUGCUUUUCUCUGGAUCUUGUACAUAGACUUGUUUACUAAAUUCUUGGUGCUGGUUUACGUUUUUAAGCUUGGAAUUGCUCUUAUGGGUGGAUGGUGUGGCUUCUUGUCGUGUGCUACCUUUGAAAAGUGCCCCUUACCUUUCACGAAGGGCUCUUGCAAUCAUUACCUUACAAGUCCACCUGUUUUUUGUAAGUUAUAGUGUAAAUAAAACACUAUGGUUUAUACUCAAAAAAUAUUUAUCUCUUAACAUCUUGAAAAGUUUGACUAUUCAAAAAGAAAAGCAUUUUUACUCUAAAACUUUAAUCAGCAUGUCUCUCACAUUACAUUUUUCAUCCCUUUUUUUGUAUACAAUAUUUUGUUUUCAGUAUGGAAAUUGGUAAUAAUGGUUAUCAUAGUGAGAGCUCACAAGGUAUCCCAAAUCCUAUGAUGACAAGGUAAACAUUAUAAUAAUCCUGUUACUGCAUGUUAUGGGCGGUGGAGGCAUGCCUGGGGACGUGGGCUUUUUACAGGCAAAAUGACGUUGCUGGACAACUGUGCAUGCCUUUGAGGGAUUUGAUGUAUUACACACAUUCACACGCACAAAUUUAUGGAGGUCAGCAAAUUGAACAAUAAGAUGAAAGCUGACAAGUAAUGGUAGCUUUUCUUGAAAAACAUCCAAUAUGACAUUUAAUAUUUUAAAUCUAAACAGUACCUUUAAGAGCUUUAAAUAAAUUUGUCAAAGAAUUUCAAGGAAUAGUGCAACAAUUUGGGAUACAGGUAUUUCGGUUUUCUUUCCUGGAUUUAGAUGAGAAGAUUGGCACCACUCUCAUGUCUGUGUUAAGUAGAGCCACACGUACCCUGGUUUAGCAUUUAGACUGGAACCAAGAGAAAACAGCUAGCCUGGCUCUGUCUAGAAUGAAAAAAAAAUAAGCUUACCGACAACUCUAAAGCUCGCAUAGUGUGCUGUAUCUGGUGGACAAGAGCGAGGCACAUUAACUUUGGUGACUGGUAGACUUAGGGAGUGGGGAACAGAGGGGCAGGUCACCCUCCUUGGUGUCCCAGUGUUCUUCGACACCCCUAUGGUAGAAUAAACAUGAUAAAGUCCCCUCUAGGGUGCCCUUCAUUCUAAGAAAACGUGAUGCAGAGCUAUAUAGGCUGCCCUACAUGCUAGAAAACUUUCUGCAUGCUCUUGGCCCACCACAUGCAGCCGGUGCCCUUUCUAAGGCGACCUAAGUCCAUCACUGCUUUGGUGUCCCAUUGUUCAUCAAGAAACUGUUUCAGCACAAAACUUCCCCUUAAACCUGCAAAUUGUUCUUUUUUAUGGUUCCCACAGGAUGAAUCCUACUGACUUUUGGUGGUUACAUCUGUAGUUUUUAGUGAUAUGUCAUGGCAUGAAAUGGACCUUUGUCAUAGCAAACAUUUUGAUUUAUCAUAGUAGGAAAAGCACAGCUGUUACUAAUGACACUCAGUACUAUUCAAGAGUCCACUGGCAUUGUGAGCAUGUCAGCAUUUAGCUCAAAGUACUGCUGUGUUUAAGUACAGCCUCACAGAGCUGUGUUGAUUACAUUUCUGAUUAUCUACAAAUAAACAAGACACUACAUGUUAAUUAUUGAGCUUUAGAGGUACUGCAAAUGGUAUUUUUGAUCUUUGGAGAGAGCCAGGCUAACUGCUUCCUGCUACCUGUCUUUAUACUAAGGUAACAAUGUCCUUGAACUGAGCUCUGUACUUAACACACACACGAGACUAGUGUGAAUUGCUGUUGUAAAUUUUUCAGUCAGUCUCAUGUUAAUAAUGUUGCUACCAUUAUUUCUCUUAUUGCCAGAUGUCCUGCUUUGUGGUUUUUGGGAGAGUCUUCCAUGUAUCACUAACCUGCAUGCUCUGUAUGUGCACUGGGAUAUUGAUGUGGAAUGAAAAAUCUUCCUGUUUCCUGUCAUUUAGAGUCAGCCAAAGUCCGAUGAAUGUACACCUGAUCAUUUUGUUCAGAGAGAGGCAAGCAUGUCAAGCUUUGGUGUGAUGCUGCGAAUGCUGCUCCUUUGAUUUUCUUAUUAAUCUAACAAAACGUCUAACUGCAUGAUACGUAUUUUUAAGUUGCACUGGGACGAGGAUGCGUUUGGACAGACAACCAACUGUAACAGAAGAUAACGGAAGAGAGCAAAACAGCUACAGCAGACAUCUUUACUUUCACAAUUAUCUUUAAACUUAUUGAACAUGUCUCUUACAUGAGUGGAGUUUUAUUCCAAAUAGUGCUAUCCAGUUUUUGAGUGACUGCUGAAAAGUAAAACCCAAAGACAAUAUUUUAUUUGCCAUUUUGUGGUCUUUACUUGAACAUUUUUCAAAGAUGGAAUUGUCUUUUUUUCUGUGAUUUACUUCUAUAUUUUUCUCAAAAUAGAUACAAGAUGGUGGACUGAAACUUGUAAAUCAUGUCCGAAAGGCCAUCAUAAUUUUUAAAAGGGGCAAUGAGUAAUAUAUGACCUCUACUGACCUUUAUCAACAAACAGUAGCUACUGGAACACUGACACUUCAUCCUCCAGGUUCAGCCAGGAACCACCACCACUUUGUCACGCCCCUUCACAUGUGAUAUGAACAGUCCGUUUAGGAUGGGAAGAAAGGGGAGGUGAAUAGGUCAAACAAAACCAGACUUUCAUCCAGGAGACCAAAGUUUGUGUCCCGUGUGAAAGCAUAAGUCAGUGUUGUUUUAACGUAACAUUACACUAUUUACAUACCGUCGCUGCAUAUUGACGUCACUCACUCAGCAUAUUCACGUCACGCUAUGUAACAUUCUACUUAUUUAAACCCAAAACAUGAGCUGUUUUUUAAACCUAACACAGUGCUUUAGUUGCCUAAAUGUAACCGUGAACCUUUCAUAAUAUGAACCACCUGUCAACAAUGUGUUUUAGUUGCGUGUCACAUAGAUGCGCUCAAGGGUUCCCUAUGCAUCACUAUGAGACGCCAAGGGGCGUGACAAAGAGUUGGCGUUUGACAACCUGAAAAUGAGAACGGGCUGGAACACAAUGGGAGUGUGUGAAUAAAAUUUUGAGAGCCUGAUAUCUAAUCUCUGGUGAACUAAUUCUUGCGUCAGUGAUAUUGAUCGACAACCCCAUAAAACACCAAGUAAUAUAAUUAUCUUGUAGUUUCAGAGAGGAACAACCUUACGUAUUGCCCCUUUACCUGACCGUACAGUUUGUCAAUCUUGAUGUUGGUGAAGCUGUUCUGCUCUCUGCCUUGUGAACCCCUCGUCCUGCUUCUCUUUGCUCAGUGAAAGAAGAGAAGCAAGCAGCGGUUGUUGAGUUUUUUUCUGUGGCUGUUAAUAUUUUUUCCUCUGUAUGUUGUUCUGUGCCGGUAGCAUCCCUACCUAUGACACUAUGAACAGGUUCCCGCGGGCCUCGGCUCCUCCGAGGCACAUCGACUGGUGACAGAGAGCCAGCUCGUGUUCUGGCUCCUGAAAGCCUCUUUUAGUGCUUUUCUGCUCACAGUGACUUUGCAGGAAAACCAUCAUGUGCCCUUGAAAACUGGAACUAAAAUACACCAUACUGUUGGUUUAUCGACCCCUCGGACAAGAAGAAGCUCAAUAAAAGCUGGUUUCCUUACAACAGAAGAAGAACACACAAAGCCCUCUGGGAUUUUAUUUUUCUUCAGCGAUCAACUCAACCUCCUCAACCAGGCAGAUCACAGCCUCCGGUACAGUUACCUGCACCCUCUCCGAAAAACUCUGCCUGCAGGACAUCAAACUCUUCUCCCUCAGCAUCAAUCUGAGCCACGCUUGUACUGCUUUUUUUUUUUUUUUUUUUUUUUU